UGUUUGCCUGGUCGCUCCAUUAGUAGUC
rnacentral:sRNA from 1 species